rnacentral:rRNA from 1 species
AACGUAGGAGGCAAGCGUUAUCCGGAUUUACUGGGCGUAAAGGGCGUGCAGGUGGUUUGCUAAGUGGUGCGUGAAAGCGCUCGGCUCAACCGGGCGAGGCCGUGCCAAACUGGCAGACUAGAAACAGGCAGAGGAAAGUGGAAUUCGGGGUGUAGUGGUGAAAUGCGUAGAGAUCCCGAGGAACUCCAGUGGCGAAGGCGACUUUCUGGGCCUUACCUGACGCUGAGACGCGAAAGCGUGGGGAGCGAACCGG